rnacentral:lncRNA from 1 species
UAUUCCUAACCACUAAGAAACAUUACAAUGCUUUCUCCUAGUAACAAUACUCCUUCAUCAACUGAUAACAAUAGUGUACAACCCUAUACUCUCAAAAGACCCCUCAAAAUACAUAAUUUCCAUCCAAUACUAAAAAUAAUAGACUCUAUUCCAACCAAUCUGAAUUCACAUAAUUUUUGUAAUCACCAAUUUUCUUUGUCGAAACAUACACAGCUCUCAAUAAACAAUAAUCAUAAUCUUCCAAUAAAUCCUCAUAUAAUUCAAUCACUCAGUACUCCAAUUAUAUAAUCAAUAACUCAUAAAUCAAUCUCUGAUUUAUUCCAUUGACUCACUUCUCAGUAUUCAAAAACUAUCCAUUACUCUUCAACAACAAAGAAACAAAGAGACAAAGAGGUAGCACCAAGCAUAACCCCGACUCAUGACUAUUAUAGUCUUGCACUCAGAUUAACUUCUACAAUUCCUAUAUACUUACUCCCUAUUCCCAAAUUCUAACCAUAAUCCUAUAAUUAACUGCUUUUAAUAA